AAGGGAAACCAAAGUACUUAUUCUCAUGGGUUUUUCUGACCAAAACAAUGUGUUGUGUUUACUGUUGCUGACUGAACUAAUAAUUCUACACAGUUUUAGAGACACAAGGAGGGUAGAUGGUACCGCGGGUCUGUCAUCAGGCUAUUGGAUGUGUGAGAUAAUCAGAAGCAUUAUUUCCUGUGCUUGGGUCUUCCUCACUGGUUAUUUGGACGAAUCAGGAUUGGGCAAAGGCGGUGCUUAAACUGGGGGUGGGGAUUUCUAGCCCAUGUGUGAUAAAUACAGGUGAAAUUAUCCGAAGGGGAGGGGCUUUGCCUUACAGUUUCCAUUUGCGAGGGUGGAGACUUCUCAAUCCGGAAAUCUACAUUUCUAACACGUUUGUUCCCAGAAUUGAAUCGACCAUCUGACCCAACUAGAUGUCCCUGGUGGUAAUGGUGCCGUACUACAUGUCUGCUGUCUUUCGUGCUCCAACCCAACGACGAUAAAUGUCUCUGGUGGACCUGAGAUAAAGGGUCAGGUAUAUGACCUGAGACAGAGUUUGGGUUAGCGGGUGAUGAUAACGUGUGCUGUGUUGUGUGUUGUAAUGCUCUCCUCUCACCACGAGAUGUCUCUGGUGGACCUGAGAUAAAGGGUCAGGUAUAUGACCUGAGACAGUGGACCUGUGAAGGAAGCUCGUGGAAGCAGCCAAGUUCUCACCAGGGUCCCUAUUCAUAAAACUAGCAUCCCAAAUGGCACCCUAUUCCCUAUUUAGUCCACUACAUUGGACCAGGACCAUUCGCUGGGGACCUGUCUGCCCAGUACGAUCAGUACUCCCCAACGGAGGUUCUACUGAGGCCAGGGGUCAGCCAUGAUGCCCGGACCAAGGUGGACCACACCCCCCUCCACAGGGCUGCUCCAGCAGGGACAGGCAUCGUAGAGGUCCUGCUCCAGGUACAGCCUCCCUCUACAUGGCUGCUCCAGCAGGGACAGGCAUCGUAGAGGUCCUGCUCCAGGUACAGCCUCCCUCCACAGGGCUGCUCCAGCAGGGACAGGCAUCGUAGAGGUCCUGCUCCAGGUACAGCCUCCCUCUACAUGGCUGCUCCAGCAGGGACAGGCAUCGUAGAGGUCCUGCUCCAGGUACAGCCUCCCUCCACAGGGCUGCUCCAGCAGGGACAGGCAUCGUAGAGGUCCUGCUCCAGGUACAGCCUCCCUCUACAUGGCUGCUCCAGCAGGGACAGGCAUCGUAGAGGUCCUGCUCCAGGUACAGCCUCCCUCCACAGGGCUGCUCCAGCAGGGACAGGCAUCGUAGAGGUCCUGCUCCAGGUACAGCCUCCCUCUACAUGGCUGCUCCAGCAGGGACAGGCAUCGUAGAGGUCCUGCUCCAGGUACAGCCUCCCUCCACAGGGCUGCUCCAGCAGGGACAGGCAUCGUAGAGGUCCUGCUCCAGGUACAGCCUCCCUCUACAUGGCUGCUCCAGCAGGGACAGGCAUCGUAGAGGUCCUGCUCCAGGUACAGCCUCCCUCCACAGGGCUGCUCCAGCAGGGACAGGCAUCGUAGAGGUCCUGCUCCAGUUACAGCCUCCCUCUACAUGGCUGCUCCAGCAGGGACAGGCAUC